rnacentral:lncRNA from 1 species
GCCUCCGUUCCCCAAGGCCACAGACACUGUGCCCUCAAAUCUCCCCCAGUGGCAGGGACGCUGACCCAGCACGGGCCCCACGGGGACACCCAGGUUAGAAGAGUUAACAUGGCACAGUGUCGUGGGUGUGGCUGUGGUUCUGUGCAGGGCCAAUUCCGGGGGUCUUCACCUGGUGGGUGUCCCCAAGCACACUCACCACCCGCUGCGUCCGCCCCUGAGUGAGGAUGUGGGGCCCCCACUCUCCCCUUCCCAGACAGACCCUCAGCAGAUGACAGACCCUGGGCUCUGGAGCUUCGAUUCAAGCUCUGGAAAUGUCCUCCAGGCCCAGAGUGCGGAGACAGGCAGAGCUGGCCCCAGAGCAGGGUGGGGGUCCCACAGCAGAGGUCUCGGGGGCGUCCCUCAUCCAUCCUGGGGGCUCAGGGAGGUGAGCACCAGGCUGCCUGGCUCCACUACCUACUGGCCCACAGUGGUGCCAGUGUGUGCCCCACCUUCCUGGCUGACGGUCUCUCGGGAGGCCUUGGGUUCACUGGGAAGACAACUGAUCUGGGAAUGAGACAUCGGGGUGGACCUCAAACUCUUGCUCGCCAGCCCUGUGGCCCUGAGCAAGUCCCUUGACCUUCAGGUGAAGCCUCACAUGAUGCCCCAGGUGAGCCCCAGGUGAGCCCCAGGUGAGACCGGCACAAGGUCCUCCCCUGCAGCUCUCUGUCCUCUGCACACUCCAGGCUCCACCCGAGGGACGUGGCGGAGGGUCCCUGACAGCCAGUCCUGGCCAGAGAGGAUGUCUGCCCUCGAUUCUCAGCAUUUUCACGGAAACAAGCAGAUCCAGCACGAGGCUGAAUCCCCCUCCCUGGGGACUUGGAGACCACAAGGGCAGCGGCUCCUCAUGCAACACGUCCCCUGGCAAAGGGCACCUCGCUGCCACCAUCACCCAGGGGACGGGCCUGGGC